GUCCCAGCAGACGCGGUAAUACGUAGCGUGCAAGCGUGUCGGGGAAUUAUGGGCGUAAAANGCUCGUAGGUGAUUGUCGCGUCUGUGUGGAAACGCAACUGCUUAAAUUUGCGCGUGCAGUGGGUACUGGGCUGACUAGAGUGCAGUAGGGGAGUCUGGAGUUCAUGGUGUAGCGGUGAAAUGCGCAGAUAUCAGGAGGAACACCGGUGGCGAAGGCGGGACUCUGGGCUGUAACUGACACUGAGGAGCGAAAGCAUGGGGAGCGAACAGGAUUAGAUACCCUGGUAGUCCAUGCCGUAAACGUUGGGCACUAGGUGUGGGGGACAUUCCACGUUCUCCGCGCCGUAGCUAACGCAUUAAGUGCCCCGCCUGGGGAGUACGGUCGCAAGGCUAAAACUCAAAGGAAUUGACGGGGGCCCGCACAAGCGGCGGAGCAUGCGGAUUAAUUCGAUGCAACGCGAAGAACCUUACCAAGGCUUGACAUACACCAGACCGUUCUGGAAACAGUUCCUCCCCUUUGGGGUUGGUGUACAGGUGGUGCAUGGUUGUCGUCAGCUCGUGUCGUGAGAUGUUGGGUUAAGUCCCGCAACGAGCGCAACCCUCGUUCUAUGUUGCCAGCACGUGAUGGUGGGAACUCAUAGGAGACUGCCGGGGUCAACUCGGAGGAAGGUGGGGAUGACGUCAAAUCAUCAUGCCCUUUAUGUCUUGGGCUUCACGCAUGCUACAAUGGCUGGUACAGAGAGAUGCGAGACCGCGAGGUUUUAGCGAAUCCCUUAAAGCCAGUCUCAGUUCGGAGCGUAGUCUGCAAUUCGACUACGUGAAGUCGGAGUCGCUAGUAAUAGCAGAUU
rnacentral:rRNA from 1 species